rnacentral:rRNA from 1 species
CCAGGCCUACGGGGGGCAGCAGUGGGGAAUAUUGGACAAUGGGGGAAACCCUGAUCCAGCGACGCCGCGUGAGUGAAGAAGUAUUUCGGUAUGUAAAGCUCUAUCAGCAGGGAAGAAAGAAAUGACGGUACCUGACUAAGAAGCCCCGGCUAACUACGUGCCAGCAGCCGCGGUAAUACGUAGGGGGCAAGCGUUAUCCGGAUUUACUGGGUGUAAAGGGAGCGUAGACGGCUGUGCAAGUCUGAAGUGAAAGCCCGUGGCUCAACCGCGGAACUGCUUUGGAAACUGUAUAGCUUGAGUACUGG